rnacentral:rRNA from 1 species
UGGGGAAUUUUGCACAAUGGGGGAAACCCUGAUGCAGCGACGCCGCGUGAUUUAGAAGGCCUUCGGGUAGUAAAAAUCUUUUCUAUGGGAAGAAAAUGACAGUACCAUAGGAAUAAGGACCGGCUAAUUACGUGACAGCAGCCGCGGUAAUACGUAAGGUACGAGCGUUGUCCGGAAGCAGUGGGCGUAAAGGGUACGUAGGCGGGUAAGCAAGUUAGAAGUGAAAUCCUAUAGCUCAACUAUAGUAAGCUUUUAAAACUGCUCAUCUUGAGAUAUGGAAGGGAAAGUGGAAUUCCUUGUGUAGCGAUGAAAUGCGCAGAUAUUAGGAGGAAUACCGGUGGCGGAGGCGACUUUCUGGCCAUAACCUGACGCUGAGGUACGAAAGCGUGGGUAGCAAACAGA